rnacentral:pre_miRNA from 1 species
AGUGGAAUAGCUGGGUCAAAUGGUGGUUCCAUUCCCAGUUUUCUGAGGAAUCGCCAUACUGCUUUCCAUAGUGGUUGCAGACCAAUUUGCAGUCCCACUAGCAAU